AGAGUUUGAUCCUGGCUCAGAACGAACGCUGGCGGCAUGCCUAACACAUGCAAGUCGAACGCGUGUAGCAAUACACGAGUGGCGCACGGGUGAGUAACGCGUGGGAACCUGCCCUGGAGUGGGGGAUAACCCGGCGAAAGCCGGGCUAAUACCGCAUACGACCUAUGGGUGAAAGAUUUAUCGCUCUGGGAGGGGCCCGCGUCGGAUUAGCUAGUUGGUGAGGUAACGGCUCACCAAGGCGAUGAUCCGUAGCUGGUCUGAGAGGAUGAUCAGCCACACUGGGACUGAGACACGGCCCAGACUCCUACGGGAGGCAGCAGUGGGGAAUAUUGGACAAUGGGGGCAACCCUGAUCCAGCAAUGCCGCGUGAGUGAUGAAGGCCUUAGGGUUGUAAAGCUCUUUCGGCGGGGACGAUGAUGACGGUACCCGCAGAAGAAGCCCCGGCUAACUUCGUGCCAGCAGCCGCGGUAAUACGAAGGGGGCGAGCGUUGUUCGGAAUUACUGGGCGUAAAGGGCGCGCAGGCGGCCUUAGAAGUCAGAUGUGAAAGCCCCGGGCUCAACCUGGGAAUAGCAUUUGAUACUCUGAGGCUGGAGUGCGGGAGAGGAGAGUGGAAUUCCCAGUGUAGAGGUGAAAUUCGUAGAUAUUGGGAAGAACACCGGUGGCGAAGGCGGCUCUCUGGACCGUAACUGACGCUGAGGCGCGAAAGCGUGGGGAGCAAACAGGAUUAGAUACCCCAGUAGUCC
rnacentral:rRNA from 1 species